GUGCGCAUUAGAAAUUAACACAUUUAUAAAUUAACAAUAAUGCUUUUAGUGUUCAGUAUUAUUUAAGAUAAAUUCAAAAGAUAAUUUUAAAACGUGAUUAUUACCAAACUAGUCGAUUUUCAGUUUUCGUGGUUAACAUGCUGUCCUUGUCUACUAGAAUUUGAUAAACCAAGGGAGGUUAAAUAAUGUUAUAAAUAAAUACAUAUUAUGUAUUUAUAUAAGGUACAACAUACUGUAGGAUUAAGGCAACCUUAACUGCCAUAGAGGUGAGAGUGAGAACAGGG